UCCCUGGUGGCUCAGAGGUUAAAGCAUCUGCCUGCAAUGUGGGAGACCUAGGUUCAAUCCCUGGGUUGGGAA
rnacentral:tRNA from 1 species